rnacentral:lncRNA from 1 species
CUCAUCCCAGAAGAAAAGAAACCAACACCUGUUCCGAAAAAAGUGGAAGCACCACCACCCAAAGUUCCUGAGGUGCCUAAGAAGGUGGAAGAAAAACGAAUCAUUCUCCCUAAAGAAGAGGAAGUUCUACCAGUUGAAGUGACUGAGGAGCCUGAAGAAGAGCCUAUUUCAGAAGAAGAAAUCCCAGAAGAACCACCUAGCAUAGAGGAAGUUGAAGAGGUGGCACCACCUAGAGUGCCUGAAGUGAUUAAGAAAGCAGUACCUGAAGCACCUACUCCUGUUCCUAAAAAAGUGGAGGCACCACCAGCUAAAGUGUCAAAGAAAAUUCCUGAGGAAAAAGUACCUGUUCCUGUUCAGAAAAAAGAGGCACCCCCAGCCAAAGUACCGGAGGUGCCUAAGAAAAUUGUGGUAGAAGAAAAAGUACGUGUUCCUGAAGAGCCCAGAGUUCCACCAACUAAAGCACCCGAAGUACCCAAGAAAAUUGUCCCAGAAGAAAAAGUUCGUGAAGCUGUUCUGAAAAAGCCUGAAGUUCCACCAGCUAAAGUGCCUGAAGUGCUGCCACCGAAGGAAGUGGUCCCAGAAAAGAAAGUACCGGUGCCUCCUGCCAAAAAGCCAGAAGCUCCACCUCCUAAAGUGCCUGAGGCUCCCAAAGAAGUUGUUCCUGAAAAGAAAGUGCCAGUGCCUCCUCCUAAAAAGCCUGAAGUGCCACCCACAAAAGUCCCAGAGGUGCCAAAGGCAGCUGUCCCAGAAAAGAAGGUGCCUGAAGCUAUUCCUCCCAAACCGGAAAGUCCUCCCCCUGAAGUGCCUGAAGUGCUGCCACCGAAGGAAGUGGUCCCAGAAAAGAAAGUACCGGUGCCUCCUGCCAAAAAGCCAGAAGCUCCACCUCCUAAAGUGCCUGAGGCUCCCAAAGAAGUUGUUCCUGAAAAGAAAGUGCCAGUGCCUCCUCCUAAAAAGCCUGAAGUGCCACCCACAAAAGUCCCAGAGGUGCCAAAGGCAGCUGUCCCAGAAAAGAAGGUGCCUGAAGCUAUUCCUCCCAAACCGGAAAGUCCUCCCCCUGAAGUGCCUGAAGUGCUGCCACCGAAGGAAGUGGUCCCAGAAAAGAAAGUACCGGUGCCUCCUGCCAAAAAGCCAGAAGCUCCACCUCCUAAAG